GUCGAUGUUUGUGCGCAUGUCUGCCUGUUCCCCGAGUCCUUUGUCUGCUGGUGGUUUUUUUCCGACUGUCUUUUGUUUGGAUUUUGCUUCUUGUGUUCUUUGAAGUAAGACAACCAGUUUGGUAACUUCCUUUAGCACCAAUUUAGCCAUCUCUACUUUUUUGUUAAACCUCUACUCAUGGCUCAUUUAAUCCCCUUCUAGCUACAGACAUAAGAGUGAAUAAAUGAAUGUAUUUCCCUGGUUGUUCUUUUUUAAGGGAUAUUCCAGUGAAAAAUUAAUUUAGGGUCAAACACACUGUAACACCCAGUCAGACACCCCCUCCAGAGAUGAAUGUUGCUGACCGCUUGCUUCUCUAGUUAUACCAACUUUAGUGAUGACCGCACGAUAGCAAUACAUAGCGGUCUAUGGAACCACAAUAUUUCUUCAUGGAAAUGCAAUCAGACUGAGACACUAAGGCAGAAAAACUACCAUGUCUGCAGUGCAAAAUGGUAAAUAUGGUGAUUAUUACUUCAAGGAAAUGAUAAAGUAAUGAUCAUAAAUGUUCUUCCUUGAGCUGUGUCACCCCCGUGUAGUCCGUAAUGGACUCGCCCAGAGGUCUCCAUACAAACAGGCGGCUGCUGGAAGAGAGAAGGUGAGUUGUGUUUAGUCUCUUUGCUAAAGAAAUCAGGCAAAGCUAAAAAGAUGUUUGGUGGUUAGUGCUGUGGCUUGGACCCUAUAUGUACUGUUGAUGAAGUUAGGUGCUGUUCUGAGCAUUAUUUGUGGCUAUAGAGUGGCUCUGUGUAUUGCUAUUGUGCGGUCCUUACUAAAGUUGGUAUAACUAGAGAGGCAAGCAAUCUGCAACAUCUCUCGACGGGGUGUCUAACUCUGUGUUAUGGUGUGUUUUACCCUAGCUUAAUUUUUACGCCGGAAUAUCCCUUUAAAUGAGGUUCGACCCCUGAGUUUUAGGAACUUCCUCAGUUUGCUAAAAGGCCGAUUAUAGCAGUUAGAGUCUCUAAAUGCAUGUUUACCAAAAAGAUUCAGGGGUCUAAGUGUUGUUGACCAACCUUCAUGGAAAUAUCAGUUUUUCAAUCUUCUCUGUGAUACUGGAGGUUAAUUUUCCUGCCGUUUUCAUUGACUUCUUGAGUCAAUUUCUAAUUUCAGGACCCUUUUUCCGCCCUAUAGAAAUGAUUGUCAGAAUAGCAAACACUCUCAAUAUUUAAGGGGUGAGAAGUUCACCGUGACUUGAACUCUUAGUCCCACCCAAAGGCUUCUAACUCACCCCUGGGUGGCCUCACAUAGCCAUUACCCAGCUCAGUCUGUGUCUCCUCCUCCUCCUCCUCCUGCUGUAACCGGACAGAAGGGGACAUCUGGGAUGACACUGUGAAGCAGAUGCAAAGAGUCCAUUAUGUUUGCCCCCCUCAGCGCCAUGGCCAUAUUUCCUCUGUCAGCGUAACCACGAAGAUGAGAUUCUAAGGGAGGCGACCAGGAGCUCGGCCUUGUCUUGGGUGCAAUCUGUUCUCAAACUGGGGCGGGAAUAUACACACAUACACAUGGAGCACCGCGCCGUAUGGACACACCACAUAAUGAGGGUCGUUAAUGUGUCGGUGAAACGUGUGAUUGACAGGUGGCGAGGUUAGCCGAGCAGCGGGUUCACCCACAAUCUCGAGAGAUUGAGAUGGCGGUGUCACGGCCACCUGAGCAGAAGCACGCCAUCACGGUUUUUAUGAUGAUGCGCAGGUGACAACGUCUGAGCUCUUACCUGGCGUGACCCAUCCAUCCAUCCGUCCAUCCACGUGAGAUUCCUAAAGAAAUUGUUUGGCUUCUUCAUGUAAAGUUUAAGAAGCUUUCCUGUCUCUCCUCUUGCGCCGCAGUAUUAUUGAUGCCAUUUUCGUCCUGUCUGUUCUGCUUGGUUUGAAGUUCUUUCAUGGCUCAAUAUGAUUAUAUUAGGCCCCUUUCUCCCAGGCAGAGGAAAAGAGGAGGCACUUUCUGAAGGCAGAUACCUGGAAAUACGGCAGACACUUCUCUUUCAAGGGGGUACUUUUAGCUCUGCGCAUCCACGCAUCUUCUCUGUCUGAGAACAAUCAUGAAGAUGAAUGGCAAACUUAGCCUCCUCCUGAACUCCUGCUUUUAAUAAUUGGCGUUCUUUGACAGCAGCUCAUACAUUAUAGAGGACUGUUGUUGCAUUAGUGAGCAGGUGGAGCAGGCAGCAUAAAUAUAUUGACUUUUGAAUCAACCUCCAGGCGAAUGAUUGAACGGUGGAGAAGAAGUUGUAAUAGUUUUUUAGUGUUGCGUGAUUUGCGAGUGAAGAGAUGUUUGUUGCAAAUACGCGGAGCUGAAGUCUGUAUAUCGUGGUGGAUCAGCAGGGUACGGUGUUUCAGUGGAUGGAGUAAAAUCAGCUCUUGAUGUUCAGAAGAAAGGAAGAAGAGAAAAAGGCGGAUUAUUAAAGGCUUGUGUUAUGCCAUAUGAUAAGGAAGUUGAUGGAACGACUGUUUCAGGAAAACUGUGUUCAUUGCUAGUUAAUAAACAUUUAUGCUGUAUUUAGUACAUGGUUUGGCAGAGCACUAAGCUUGAAAGACUAGUUGUGCACUUUUGACGGGUUUGUCGACGUCUUUGGUUUAGAGUUAGCUGUUAGUUGUAAGUGUUAAGUCCUCACAUCCUUUGUACCAACUGUGCAAAAGUAAAAAGUUCAAACUUAAUUUCUCAUUUAGGACUAAUUUUACACUCAUGUUUUAAUGAAAGAGGAUUAGGGCCACAAGAAGAUAAAAAAAUAAUUACAGGAGGGGGAUUUUUUUAAAUUUCUAUUUCGAGAUUAAAGUCGAAAUGACAUAAAUCGCAUUUUGCACAAAGGCGGCAGCUUCCUCCAAGUUUUUUCUCCUGUCGAGUCAUAAUCUUCAGCAGUCUUUUCAGAGUUUGAAUACUUAUGACCACACUGUGUCUGUGUGCUAAAAGAGCAAGGAUUUCCUUGUUACUAAAUCCAAUUCUAAAGUAAAGCUUUACAAACUGUUCUACCAAGGACAUAUUGUCGAGUGAUGAAUUUCACCUUUAUUUGCGUCGACUUUGAUCUCAAAAUUUGGACUUCAAUCUCAAAAUUUUGAUUUAAUUCACGAAAUUUUGACUUCAUUCAUGUUAACUUUAAUCUCUAAAUUUCGACAUUGUUCACGACAUUUCAACAUUUUGUGAUCUCAAAAUUUAAUCUUGAAAUUUUGUCUUUUUGUCUUUAAUCUCCACCCUGUAUUUAUUUAUAUAUUUUCUAUUCAUGUGUUUCUUUCGUACAUUUGAGGUGCUGCACUGGCUUAGACAUUUUCAAUGUAGGCCUAAAUUACAACCUUAAUCCUACACCUGGCUCUAAAUAAUCAUCUGUGAUUGUUCUGGUUGUCAUUCUAGAAGCUUGGAUGAUAUUGAGGAAGAGGAGAAACAGAGGCUUCAUGUGUUGUACAUUGACUAUGAUCUGCAGUAAACAUUAACCAUUUCUUCUCAAACCAAGCUAACUUCCCCUCUGCUUUUAGAGAGUGCAGGUUUAAAGAGCCAAACUUCUGUUUUUCUGGCCUCCAAAACUUUAUUUCCCUCUGUCAAUGUCAAUGAAACAUUGUCUCCUUUGAUGAAUCAAACUUUAGCGAAAUCAAAACUGCCUCCGAAUAUCAGUUCAAACUUUUUUGUAAGCCGUACCUACCUCAUACCUAGUCCAGUCCUUGGCCAUGACCUGAAAACCAAUUUCGAUUUCGAACAGAACAUGUCCCCCAUUAAUCCUGCAAUGUUAAAAUUUCAUUUUUAAUAUAGGACUCUUGUAUAUCUAGCUUUCAGCAAACCAAGCAGUCAUAACUUUUGCACAAACAUUUAGCCUUGCUCUUUAUUAGAGCUGCAAAUCAAUGUCUGUGCGAGCGUUUGGCCGCUCUACCUGAACUUAUUAGGCCGAAUCUGUUAUGACAAGUGGCAGACUGAUAUUUUAAAACAUUUACAGACGUAGAUAAAAUGAUUGAGCUGUAAUAAAUCUUGUUACUUUAGGCUGCAUUUGGGAGAGAAAUAAAUGAAUGCCUCAGUGAUUACACACAGCCAAAUUAAUGUUCCUUCUUGUCAGCUUACAGGAAAAUGGAAAAGCUUAUAAAAACAUAAACAGCAGAGCAAAAUCAAUAUUACAACAAAUAUUGAAUGCAUUUGGAUUCGGAUCACUGAGCCAUUUCAACAUGGCAGCCACUUUUCUGGAGUUUAACUGUGUUUUCAAGUCGAGUUUAUGACAGGGAUAUGCUUUAUGAGCACUUACUUCUUCUUUUAAAACUCCGGACAGUUAGAGGAAAAGAGUGGUUCAGUUUCUUAUCCGUCUCUUAUUGUUUCCAUCGAGUUUUUUAAAGGGGCAAGUAAUUGAAGGUGAAGAAUGAAUUAGCAAGAAAAAAAGAGGAGAAGCUUGUUUCAUUCGCCAAGUUACAGCAGAGGCUUAUGGCCUUGUCUGCUUUUCUAAAUCAUAUCAAUUAGUUUCAUAUCUUUUUAAAAACUGCUCACCGUGGGGUCAAGGGAAUCCUUGUUUCCAAUAGCAACCCUUUAAACACAAGGAGAUGUUUCACAGUCAGGAUUUUUCAAGCACAGUGACACCUUCAUUAAGCUCAUCUUUCAAGGAAACAGCGGCAAAACCAAACCAUAGACUUCCUAGGUUAAGACGGCAAGUGGCCAAGAGAGUGGGGUGACGCAACUGGAGCUGGAUUUUGCUCAGACACUGUGGGUCUGUGCCUGGAAAUAAUGAUGCUGUGGCUCUAGGUUUCUCUUUCUUCAUGCACCUCUGUUUGUUCAAAAUCCAUCUAUGUAACACAGAUCUUGCACAUAAAUUAGCCAUGCACGUUUGACUAGCUAUUAAAGGAACAUUAUUUCAAUUUUUUUAGAGUUAAAGUCCUUUCACAUCGGGACCAUUUUUUUACGUGCGAAUAUUUCGGACGUCAAUAUUUUUAUCCAACCCAUAUCCUGUCAAUACAAGCGUUCACAUCAGCGAAUUUUUCCCGUCCUGCGAUAUUGCGGCAUUUAUUUUUUCAGGUCAUGGUCGAUAUACUAAAGUUUCGCAUACUGUGCGUCCACUUCUGAACAAUCAGAUUUUGUGUUGUUGCGACAUCAGAUUCACCGGUAUAUCCAACAUGGCCAACUAAAUUGUUUACGUGUCGGAGAACAGAGUGCUUUUUGAUAAAAAACACAAAUAUUACAAAGAUAAUGACCUGAAGGACAACUUGUGGAGAGUCAUAGCAUCUGAUCUCUCAUAUGACGAUAGUUUGUGUGCUUUAACAGUUUGCUAAACGUCUUUGUUUUAACUUUCAUCUGUGCUAAUUAACUUUAGCUCGUAAGCUAACCUGUUCAGAUACAACAUACAAUAUGUAUUUUCACUGUCUCAAACUCAAUCAAUUAGGUCUCGGUUGUUACCUUACGUUUAUGGAUUAUAGUUUAAUGUGCUUCAGUCCAUGCUAUCAUGACAGACAGCCAUCUCAACACUAGUGUCUAAUCAGAACUGAAAAACAGUCGGUCUGCUGUUGUGUCAGUCUUCUCGCUUCCACCCAGGAUGCGUUUUUCCCCCCCGGAAAGUCGCAAAAUCGCAUUGCGCUUGAUGUGUAUAGUCAGGCGCGUCAAAAUUCGCCUCUGAAUGUUUCGUAAUUUCGCGUUCUAUAUUCGUGUCGGUGUGUAAGGACCUUUUAGAGAGGCUAACUCUUUGCAAUCUUGAUGCCAAAUUGAGCAAACAGUGUUGUUUCUGUGGCUUGACAUGUCUAAUUAUCAGCCUUCCGAACGAAAAUCUGAUGAACAUCUUCACUCGUUCACCGCUUGAUCAAGCGCCCAAUUAAUCUUUACUCUGUCGUUAAGCCAACUCCAACUGGCAUGUGGUUUUCGGUCUUGUUUUCAGAAAACUGUCGCUCAGAGGGAAGUUGUAAAGCUGAAGCCCCAGCGUGCGGCUCAGAGGGCACAUGAUUGACAUUUCAAAAGACCUCUGGAGCCACAGCCAGAGCCUAAAAGCUGCCGGAUCUCAAGCCGUGUGAGCGACCCCCCUCAGAUGCCCAUCAAUGCAAGGCUGUGUGUGAGUUGCACCCACGCCGGGCAUCACCUGCUGUCAGGGAGACAUUAACAAGGUGGGUUGUGCCCUGCCCUCUGCACCCAAACUGCUGCUCUUCACCCACUAGUUGAUGUGCUGUUUCUUUUCUGUUGUGCUUAAAAGUGGAUGAAAAUUAAUCACCUUAGACCCCUGAUUCGAUCCUCGACAGGUACCCCGCUCUGAUUGGCUCCCACUGUGAGAGUCAUUUAGCAGAUAAAACAUCCAGUUCAAGAAACAGACUUCCACCUGUUGCCCCAAGUCUUUCUUUUUUUUGUGUUUUUCUCCCCUUAUCAGACGGCCUUUGGGGAAAUUAACGGAUGAGUUCAUGCCGGCAACAGGGUUGCUAUAGAAACUUCACAUAUAAGACUAAGGCUGGAGUUUGUCACCAGAGAGAAAACAGGAGAGAGGAAAAGAGACAAAGAGGCGGCUGUGUUGAACGCACACUGGAGAGGCAUCAAAGGUGGAGUCAUUUGCAACACAACAUUGGUGCCAUGCUUUAUUUCCUGUCUGCUUUACCGCACCCUCGCUGCAAUAUCUCCUAAAACCAUCACAUCCUCAGCAGGACACCUAAGGGGAACCAUUUCCUUUACAUUUCCAAAAUAAGAUCACGUAAUUUUCUUUUUUAGUCUUAGGAAAUAUAUCAGACUCACUUCCUCUCAGCCUGUGUGCUUUUGUUUCACAUAAUCACUGUGGAAAUGGCAAAUUUUGGAUGAACUGUCCAGCUGUGAGCACAGUGUCAGGGUACACGCUCUGUUAUUGAAACGCUGAGUCCAUAUUGAUCAGGUGAUCUGUUACUGGCCCCUAGUGGUUCAGGUCAGAACUAGAAAUGCAGUUUCACAAAAGCAGAUAAACCGCAUGACACCUUUCUACACUACAGGGAGCUUUUUGAGGCAGAGAGGGGAAAUUAAAGUCAAUUUGAAUUUGUUUUUAUAGAUUUGUUUUUAUGGCUCUUUGGAAAUGACUCAGAGUGUUUCAUAAACACAGGGCAAAGACAAGACAGAAAAUUAACAAUAUCAAACAAAUUAGUGAAAAUAUGAGCAGUGUAAAGACGUGUAGACUUUUAGAAAAACAAAACAUGACAAGAGCGGUCACAUUUGAUAGAUUUACUUGAAUUUUAUAUGUUUUCUGAAGAAGUCAUUCUAACCUGUAACACCAGCAAAACUUUUAUUUUGGCGGGAAGUCCAAACAUGAAUUUGCCUCAUAACCAAACACGAACAACACAACUUCUUGUCACAUCUUUAAAACUUUUUCAAAAGUUAAGAAGUUGUCGUUGCCUGUAAGUUGUUGCUUGUUAAUCAAACUGGAUUAAUAUUUUCAUUUGUUUUAUUUUGACGGGGAAGUUUUUGACGUUUUUCUGCCAUAUAACACAACAUGAAGUGUGCAGAAGACCUGAAGUUGAGCUCAGUACUUGAGCUCAGAAGUUAUUACCUGACGAGCAAAGUCAACUUUGAAUUUACUUUUUUAAGGAAGUAUUUACAUUUAUGCAUUUAUGUUUGAGUACAACACAGUUUUAACACACAUGCAUGAUUGACAUGUAUAAAAAAUAACAGUAGGGACAAAAUGUUCAACCUCUUAGUCCUUUUUUUUCCCGUACAGCAGCAUUUAAAUCUAUCAUUACUGUAAUUGAAAAAAGUGAACAACCAUCUCAUCUAAUAGCGAGCAGGAAAGAAAUUACACUUUUCUUUACUGCCCUCCUUUAAAGACAUCACUUACGCUCCUUAUAAAAUCUAUUUUCAGUUUAAGAGCAGCUGAGGGGAGAUGUACCUGGGGAGAAAGAAGAUUAAAAGUGAUUAAACGCUGAAAUUCAUUUAUGGCUGCAACAGUUGCAAAGCCUCCGUCCCUGAUUUACGACCAUCCAAGCCCGUCCUAAUUUCAGUCUGGGUGACACAUGAGAUGAGCGUCGGCGCUAUACUCAGGCUUCAGGCUCUGACAGGAGAGUCACAGCGCUGUCUCCCAUCUCUCACUCUUUUUUUUUUUUUUUCCUCCCACUCUCUUCAUCCUCUUCUUUCUUUCAUUUGUUCUACGCCGCGCCUCGGUCUGUCUGUGUGACUUUCAGACGAGAGGAGUGAACAUUGUCAUGCUGAGCUCGGCUUAGCACAUCUCUAUCAAGUAUCGGUGCCCUCUGGAGAAGUGUUUCAGGGGGAAAAAAAACAGUUUAUUUUGAACAUCUUUUUGCCCAUCUUCAUCUCCCGCUGCACACACUGCCAAUGGGUACGAGUAAAUGUGUGCAGAGAGGGAGUAUACGCAAGCAGAAACACACAGUGGGGCGUUCAAAGUCAGAUGCAGCCGAUUUGCGACUCAUGCAGACGCACUCUCCCCUGCGUAACAUUGUAAACAAAGUAAACAAACACCAAACCCUCUCCACGUUUGUAGACAAAGCUGCCAGUGCGAUCCAAGCUUUCUCAGAAUAAACCCGAGUCAUGGAGUCGGAGUAAAAAGAGGAAAAGAGAGAGAGAGUGAGAGACACAAAGUUGGAAUGUCACCUUCUGCUCCUUGGCACCUCGACUGGGAGGGCGGCGAAGAGUGCAAUGGGACACGAUGGGGGUCCCUCUGAACCUUAGCCUUGGGACAGAUGGCAGGAUCGGACCCUCAGACCUGCUAAUGAGUGGGUCGUGCCAAGCGGUGUAGGACACGGGGACAUGGGUCAGGUUGCUCCAUCAAAGGCGUGAUCUGACAUGUCAACGGGGUGAGGCCACGCCUAGCUGCUUAGCCGGCGGUGACAUGCCAUACAGUCGCCAACGCUGGGUUUUUGGCUUGAGCCCACGUAGGAAAAAAAUCUGGCUCUUCCUUCCAAAGCAGACCGAUCUAAGCCACGUACUCUUUUAUUUACAGACACUCUGGGUUUUAUUGUGUGUUGAUUUGCAUAAAUUACUCAGGCAAACUCCUCUAAAUCCUGGAUUUUACUCUUAAUGAAACCAUAAUGAGCAUCAUAAAUUAUGAUUUGAACCACAAGUUUAUCAGUGAAAUGUUAGCUAAGAUAUCAAUUCAACCAAAAAUAGUCAUUUCCUCUUCUCUGUGUGUUACAGGGGACAUCUUACUCCAACACGUGGAGUCGCCCCCUGCUGGACAUGAGAAAGAUAGCAGGUAUGAGGCAAUUUAAGACUGGCUGCAUUUGUUAAACCUAUGUCUAAGUUUACUUUUUGGAAGUUGUCUGUGACUUAAGGUUAAAGUGGGCAGGGCUAGCUGCUGUCAAUCAAACUCAAACCACACCCCCAUAUUCCUGAUCAGAUCACCAGUUUAGAUUAGAAAUGUUUGAGAGAAGUUUGGCGAAUUUCUAGGUGUAUUAAAAGAAUUUAGAUUUAAUUCAAGGAGAUAGGACGAGAUCUUUAGUCCUCAUCACAUGAAAAAAAAAAGUUGAUUUAAGCUAACAAAAUGCUACAGCAGCUGAAUUCAACUUCUGCUCACUCCAACAAUCAGAAAAAUGAUUCGUUUUGAUUGAGGUGAAGUCAAGUAAACACUGAAAAGGGUUCAGAGUUUCUCCAGACGGUGAAUCUUUGUGACACUGGGAAACACUGAAAGGAUGUGAUUUGUAGAUUGUCCCCCAAUUUCAAGCUGAGGGUUACUUAAUGAGGCUGACAACCUAAAUCUUCUCUCGUAGUAAUGUUAUUCGCUCCCUCUUUAAUGGUUGAGACACUAGAUUUCAUCCAGACCAUGAGCUGAAUAAGGAUGAUUAAGACUUAGGAAAAGAUUUGGGUGAAAAGGAGCAAAUAUUUUAGAGACAAAAUGACAUAACCCAGUCAUCUACAUACGUUUGCCUAGAGACUCCAUGUAAACUUUAAAAUGUAGACACAGGUCUUGUCUAUUGGUGUAUCAAUCCACGUUUUGAUAGGUAUCGUAGUUUUUGAUCACUCACUGUUCAAUCACCAUGAUCAAUUUUGAGAUUAUAAUGGGUGUGUAUUGCGUGGAAUCUUCACGCUUGAGUGGGUGAUAUCAUCGGCUUGAUUGAGAGAAGUUGCAUUAAAUCGUCUGAAACUCUUCUCUUUCCACGCUUCUCCCGGCCACAAAUUACUCUCUACAUGCAUGUUUUUUUCCACAGUUGUAGACGCACUUGUUCUGUCUCUAAAGAUGUGUUUAUCUAAGCAGAGAGACUUAAAGAAUGUAAACACUGAGCUUCUAGGUGCGGCGAUGUCUCUCUCUGCUCGUCAUUGACACUAAUGCAAAGAUUUUCUGAGAGAGGCAGAGGGGACUCCUGUUUAUAACUUGCAAGUAUGUCCAAACUAUUUACUGUAGAAACACCAAAAUCAUAUCAAAGCGUUCAGAAAGUUCUUACGAUGACAACAGUCUGCUUUUUUUUUCUAAAAGAAGCAGACAUUUUGUCAGAAUAAGCCCAAAUGUGAGACUAGCACAAAGGCAGAAAAUCACUCUUUUUCUGGACGUUUUGGCUGCCUCAGCCUCCGGUGCGUCUAUCGUUGUGGCAACCUGUGAGCCACAGCUGAAGCCAAUUCACUAAUCAGGGACUGCUCUGACAUCACUGCAUCAUUGAAUCACUUUAAACGAGUUAAAGCUGACUCUCAAUCAGAAUACUAAUUAGGGCCAUAGGGGCAAACGCACAAAGGCACUGGCCCCUUUACACUCCUACCACUGGGAGUAGUUCUAACUAAUCAGAAUCAAAUAUCUGCGCAUAUGGGUGAGGCAGGAAAUAGAGAGAAGUCUUAUAAUAUUGCAGUUAUGUUCAUAAUUAGCUCACUUUAACAGAAAAACUCUACAUGUCUCUUACACUGAAGCUGCUUUGGGAAGAGAUUUCUUCCUGAGAAACACAGAAAGAAGGGGUCACUGAAUUGGCCAAAGACUGAUCAUGAACAUUUCACACCUUAGUUUAGCUUUCGCCAAACUUAUCUCCAGUGCACUGAAAGCUUAGCAACCAACAAGAAGAUUGCUGCCAAAACAUGUUAGUAUCCAAUCCCUAAACAAACACGCUAGAGUACAAGAGUCUAAUCAAGACACAGCAGCUCGAGUACGCACCACAUCACCCAGGAUGUUCCCAUCUCCUGAUCUGAAUAUGUACUUGAUUUUGAGAAUUGGCACCAUUUCUGUGUGUGAAAAAGAGAAACGUGUGCGUAACGCCAAACACCACAGGGAGAGUCCCUGCCAGGAAGCAUUUUCACACCUCAGACAUCUGCAUUUUACACCUUGGCGGUGCUCGGAUGGGAAUCCAAAUUGGUCCUUCAGUAGAUACAGACUGAUUGGAGAGAUGUAGGCGUAGAAACACUUGAGGUCACAUUGAGAGAAUUUUUAUCUUUAAACCCUUGACUUUAACAUUUUAAUCCACCAAAAUGUGGAAUAAAUCUCUGACUCAUGAUACAAAUGUUUCCUCUCGAUUUUAUUUCCAAUUUGCAAUUCAGAUUCGAAAACGACUAUUUCAGGUCCAGCUACAGCCAAAAACGCUCCUCGUUGCCCUUCAUUCGUGUCUUUUGAGUAUUUUUACAGUGGAGCAAAAAUCAUGAUUUGCAUUCCUUUCCAUCCUGGUUAUCGAUCCGACCGGCGGGCUCAGAUAUGGGGCUGUUUUAUCUGAACAAACACUUCAGCUCCGCGGUGAAAAAUAGUGUGAAGCGGCAGAUAUUGGUGGGAGAGACAGGCUGCAUCCUGGGAGCUCAUUUGUAAAGAGUACAGGUGUAAGGAGAAAGAGAGGAGACAGGUAGGAACUUGUGAUGGAUGACGGGGGUACGCGGUGGACCGGUGACAGGAGAACAUCAAUAGUUAAAGAAUCAGUGAUGUAUUGCAUUUUGUAGUUUUUGCAGUUGAAGUUGAAAGUAGUUUGGGGAUUGCAGCAGCCCACACCCACUGCUUUACUUUGUCAUAUUUAGGAGGCGUGAUGCGUUUGAAACGUUAUUGUCAGGCAUAAUCAGUCAUCAGACCGCUCACUGGAGGCUUUUUUGUUCCUCCAACCAAAGAGCUGAAGGGCGGCUGAUUGACAGCGCAUGACAGCCCCUCAUACAGGCAGCCAAACUCACAGGUCCUGCCUAUUUGAUAACGCACUAUAUAGAAUGUGUGAGUUUGUGUACGCUCGCUGCGUGUGUGUGUUCGUAACCUUAAUAUAUCCUGUUAAGUUUUGCUCAGCAUGCAAAACUCCUACAGCACCAAUGUCCUGCUUUACCUUCACAAAUAUUUACAGACUUCAGAUUUUUACUUGUGUCAGCUCCAAAGAAACAGCACGAAUUUUACACUCAAGGGCAGGUGAAAAAGCCUAAUAUUAAAGGUCAGGGCAAUGUCACUGUCAACUUUUCAAACAUAUUAAAUCUUAUUGUUAGGCUCAGCCUUGGCUAAACUAAAAUGAGGCAUUCAAAUGUAUGAACCUUGGGCCUUCAAUGCCACAUGAUCACAAACAGCACGACUUUAACUUUUGUCCAUUGAGGAGAUUAAUACUGGCUUGAUUUUCUUGAACAGAAAAAAAAAACACUAUAGCAGCUAAGAAUGAGCCUUUUGGAUAGAAAUGUGCUGCAAAUCUAAAAACAAUGCACAUUCAUUGACGUGUGCACGUCUCCAAAAACGCGCUGCAAAAAGCCAAAACACAUGCAGAAACAGAUGUGCAAAUGUUGUGCAAGUAAUGACAACAAAGAGCUCCGGGCCUCUAGGAGGUAGUGUUGUAGUCAAGACCGCACCAAACGAGACCAAGACAUUACUGAGACCAGAGAGGACCAAGACCAAGACAAGACCGAGUGAAAAUGCCUUCGAUUAUGAGACGACACCAAGACCCUCAAAAAAUGGUCUCAAGACCAAGACCGAUCUCGAGUACUACAACACUGCUGUAUGGUAACCGUUAGCUUUCCUGUCUUUAUGCUUCCUCUAAUUAUUGCUGAGUUGGCAGACAUCUUUCAUGGAUAGUUCACCAGGUGCCGAGCAUGAACACAGCCUCUCCUCCUGCCGUCUCCAUCCUCUCUCUGGGGGGUGUGUCAGUCACUUAGACUGUGUGACAGUGGGCAGGUAACUUAGCAGCUGCAGCUGGGGGAGAAUUAUUGCUACCAAUGAUGUUAAGUUAUUAGCUUGACCAGUCGCGCUAAAAAACCUGAGUGCGCUCAAUCCAAGACCGAAACAAGACUGAGUGAAAAUGCCUUCGAUUCCGAGACGACACCAAGACCCUCAAAAAUGGUCUCGAGACCAAGACCGAUCUUAAGUACUACAACACUACUAGGAGGGCUGACCAGUUGAAUAAUGGCUGUUUUCGCCUCUGUAACACUCAAAAUAAACUUUACAAGAUCAUUGUUUACAUUAGACAGCAUUUUCUUAUAGUGACAGGAAGUAUUGUUGGAAUUACGGUGAAUGGAGAGCUAAUUGAGCGCCAAGCUAAUGCCGCCAACAGUGCUGCUUGUUGUGGUGCUAACUUAACGUAGAGAUGUAAUGGAUAGAAAACGGUUGACAGAUGUUGUGUUUUGGUCAGUUUUGCACUUUCUGUAGUGGUAUUACUGUUAUGUUGUUGAAACUUUGUGUUGCUGCCAUUCUUUGAAAUGGGACCACCAUAGUCCCCAGUGGGAUGAAUCUGGCUAAAUACAGAUCAAAUAAAGAAUCAACCUCUUAGACUUUACUGUAUCAGGCAGAAUAUGUAGCUGUAUGCUAACCACUUUCUGAAGCCAUACCUUGGCAGUGCAGUGAGCUAACUUAAAUGUCACUCUGAAAUUGAUAACACACUGAUGUUUAGCAUGUUCUCUUGCUUAUUUUUGUUUCUAAGCAACUGCUAACACCUGCUAAUGUGUAUAGACGAGGGGGAUUUGCUAGCUACCAAAACCUCAGACGCACAGUGUCUAAUGGCACAACUUCAUCAUUGCUGUGAGAAAAAAUACUGGAGUUGGAAUUACAUUAAGUCAUAAUUUUGCACAAAUCUGUUCUUGUUAGUCAUAGGCUUCAGUAAAAAAAAAGUCAUCUUUGAGGUUAACUCCUUUCACUAUGACUCAGCCACAGUCAACACAUAACAAAAAAUCAAUUAUGCCGUGAUUAAAAUGGUUAUACAACCAUUCUGUGCCAUCAAAAUUAAAUGUAGACUGAUAGCAGGAGUUAAUUUUCAGCAUAAGGAGGAUUUAAUACACACCCGAGACUCACAAAAGACAGUUUCAGGCUGACUCUCUCCAGACUCACAGGUAGUUACUUUCUGGCUUUCUCCCACUGCAGCGCCUGGGAGGAAAAACGUUCUCCUCUGCUGUAUUAAAAGACUCUAAAGCAUGUUUAUGUCAUAUGCAUACUUAUGUGUUCAUGCAAGACAUAAACAGUGAAAUAUCCUCGUCUUGUAGUGUAGAAAACAAAGUGCAAAACAUUUUUUUACUGUUACUUCAUUGUUGAAUUCUUUAAAACUUCACCUCUGAUGGACCACAGACAUUUCGGUUCGAUACUUGUCACACAGCAUGACAUCAUAUGGUGAACUCAAAUCUGCCUUUGCAUCCUUGUUUCUGGGCAGCAAAGAGCCCGUCUGCCUCUCCUGCUAUGAAACAGUGCCAUCUAUGGAAAUAUUCAGAGGCAGGCCUGAGUUUAAUGCAGAAAAAUCUAUGACAGUCCUCCUCAUAAAGUUCAGGUAUUUUUACUACAUACUCUCAGCUAUUGAACUUCAGGCAGGAUAUAUGGGCUGUGCAGGCAUUUAUUUACAAAGUUAAAAAAUGAGGCUCUGUGCCAGAGCAGCUUGCUGUAUAUAUAUAUAUUUUUAUCUGACCUGAUUUAGAUUUCCUCUCAGAAAGGCUCAAACAGAUAGAGUAAGAGGGAGAAAUUGCUCUAAAAAUUAGUCAUGGAUAAAUCCAGGGCUUAUGUGACUGUAAAUAUCCGUCUGACAGCUGGAAAUGGCACUAAUAUGUCAGGCUUGGCUGCUGUCAGUCAUACUUAGAGGUUUCUGCUAAGGCCUGUCCCUUCAAAGCUACCUUGGGAUGCAUCAAAGGUUUUUUUUUUCAUACGUUACUGCCGCUGAAUUUUUAGGACCUGCAGAGGGGUAUAUCACGCUUUUCACAUGGUGCAUCCUAAAUAUGUGAUAUUAUAAUUAAUGUUAUUUUUCAGUAUGGAUUGGGAGAUGAAGUUACACCAUUAACUAAGACAACACGUACUGUAUUUACACAGAUUUACAUUUAUGUUUUGUCACUAAGUGAGAUUUAAUGUUGAUAAUAAGAGAUUUAAAUGUUACACAGAAUCAAACUUUUGCAAAAAGUUAUACUGUACUUAUGUUUUAAACAUUAUCUUGACUUGUUGAAAUAGAUGUCAAUUAAAAUCCAGGAUAUGGGGCGCACAGUUGGCUGAGUGGCUUAGCGCGCCCCAUGGGAACCAUGUCCCUGCAGCGGUCGGAGACUCAAAUCCGGCCCCGACCAUGUGCUGCAUGUCCUCCCCCCUUCUCUCUAUCCCCCAUAUUCACUCCGUCCUGUCAAUAAAGGCUAAAAUCAUCCAAAAAAUUCAGGAUAUAAGUUGCACUGGUUUUGUCUGCAUGGACACCUGCAUUAUGUUGAGUAAUGUGCAGUUUCUUUAAUCAAAAAGGAAUUAAAGUUAUAGAAAACUCUGAACUGACUUGGGUCUGACUCUUUUAUAAAUAUCUUUCUUAAGCAACUAAUUGAAAAUGUUAAACUUUUUAACAUAAUAUUUCAAGUUAUUCAGAUGUUAUUCAAAAACAAAGUUGAGGGAUGUGCAGAUGGCCGAAAGGGUUAGCGCGCCCAUGAAUGGGGAACACCAACCCUCUUGCGGUCAUGGGUUUGAGUCCAGCCCUGACCAUUUGGUGCAUGUCCUCCCCUCUCUCUCUGUCUCCCUACAUUUGACCCUAUCCUAUCAAUAAAGGGCGAAAAUUGCCCCCAAAAAAUGCUUAAAACUAAAAAAAGAACAAAGUUGAGUUAGUAUGUUGUUUGAAACUUAAACCCAACUGUUUGCAUAGAUAGUUCACAUUCGAUUUAACUACUGCUUCCAUGUUGAUGAAUUUCUUAUAACAUGAGGAAUUGUAAAAGCUUGAAUUCGUUGCCGUCUUUAUCCUCACGAAAGUUUCGUCUCUUUCUUCAACCUUUCCGCCCUGCAGACUCUGAACAGAGUUCAUCCAAGGUUAUUCUGACUUUGCCUGAAGAAGACAGCCAGGUGGUAAGCAUAGUCCCAGACAAUCCCCAAGCAAGCAAGAUAACAAUGAACUCAUCUUUCACCAUUUCUGUUCCCUAUUAAAAGAGAAAUGUAUGGGCCCAACCUUGACUGUGCGCUCUGGGAGUGAACCGGUGCCCGAGGAUUCUGCAAAGCUAAGGGUUGGCUCUUGAGGGCCAACAACCUGUCAGUUUCCCUACCAAUCUUAGCCCUCAAUUACUGAAUCAAAGGCGUGAGGAAAACCAAAUCCCAUCCUGUGCCCUCUGACAGGCUAUCUCUCCCCGCUUGUUCACUCUCUCUAACUCGAAAGCACAUGGAGCACUGCUCUUGGGAAACCUUGCAAGUGAGCUACUGGUUGUGCUCCAAAGAAGCUUCAAAGUUCGUUGCUCUUUCUCGCAGGAGCACAAAUGGGGUGAGUAGCAAGUACCUCCUUACCUUUAUUUUUUUUUUCCCACACACUUCUUUACAUGUUGCCUAAGCUGCUCCCACAUGAGUGUGCACAGAUGAGACAUGUCAGAGCUGUUUUCAUCCCACUUCUCACAGCCUGCCCUAUGAAGAAAUGCACUUUUUAUCUUAUGUACUAAAUACAAAGCCUCGUAGUGUAAGUAGUCAGAGGCUUAUGUGGGUAGAAAACCUGCUGCAGUGACAGCUGGAAUAUGAAUAUGACUGACAUCACUCGAAUGGUUUAUGUGAAAUACACACCGGCUGUGAAAAGAGCCUCUUUUUAUUUCUCCUGGUUACACUUUAGAUUUAAGAUGGAUACUCUCCAGAUGAUUUAUGCUCCGGGUAGAGGAAUGAAGCGAGGAUUUGCUACAACUCUCAUGAGGGGAAAACUUCAUAAAAACCAGUUUCAAUUUAGAGGGUGAAACAAGAACGUUGUUGAAUAUGGUGUGCAUACAAAGUCAGACACUGUCUCACUCCUCUUACCUGUUCGACAUACUGAAUAGUUUAAACACAGAAACCUGUAGGUGCCACUGUGGUGUCAGUUUGUUUCACCAACUCUGGUACAUGAAAAAGACUUUGUGAUAGGGUCCAGAGUGAGCUUGUUAGCUGAUCUGAUUCUUUUGGGGUAUUUUUAGCUUUUAUUGAGAGGAGAGAGUGAAAUAUUGUGAGACAGAGGCCGUUUUCAAACUGGCCUACUAUACUAGCAGUACGUAGGCAAACAAAUGUGAAAUUUGCAAAUUUGCCAAAAAUACCCGGUUGACGUACUGAUUUGGGAAAAUUUCACAGUAUGCAUCAGACCAGUCUGCUUCGCCUACUGUUACCCACAAUGCAAAGCGCCUGGGCAGACGGCGGAGUAGUGGAGAGCGGCGAAACUUUUCACCCGAGCAUUCAUUUUCCAAGAGGACAGCCAAGAUUUCCUCUUCUGACAGCCUGUCUUCUCCUCCUUCUUCUUUUCACCGACAAGAAUGCAAUGUUUUGUGAUUAUACUGUACAGUUUUUAUCCUCUAUUUCCAUCGCCUCAAAUUUUCCCGCUUCUUCUCAUUCGGCACGCGUGAUGUGUACCAUACACAGCAAUGUUUACAUCACACAGCUGGACAGUCAGACUGAGACGCUUAGGCAGAAGAACUACCACGUCUGCAGUGCAAAAUAAUUAAUAUGGUGAUAAUUACUUCAAGGAAAUGAUAAAGUCAUGAUCAUAAAUGUUCUUCCUUGAGCUGCGUCACCCCACUGUAGUCCGUAAUGGACUGGCCUGCGGCAGCUGGCAUUAGAGGGGGUCUAAGGCUUUAAUGCAAAGGUGAGUAAACGUAAAAGCAGUUUGACUCAAUCUGCAGCCAAGACAGUAUUUGAAAUAAACUGACAGGAGACAGGAGUAUGUGUUAGAGGGUUUUCACUCUUGUUGUCAAAUUAUCAGGACAAAGGGAAAUGAGACCACAACACGAAGACGCCAACAGUUAACACGUUUAGCGAGGAUUGCAGCUUCUUUCAUUUAAGCAGAAAACAAGGACAACAUAACUUUGCUGUAUUUACAGUGCCGUGAUGAGAAUCAAAUGGCGCCAGAUUGAUGAAUCAUUGCGUAGACAGAACACGUGGGCUAAAAAAUCCCUAAAAAAUCAAAUUGAAAACACAUUAGAUUUUUCAGUGCAUAAAUGAAUGAGCAACAUUGCAGUUUCGUUGCAAUUUACUAGGGUACAGGUGUACUUUUCCAUACUGUAAACCAGCUAAACCGGGCCAAGCAUACUACAUAAUGAUGUCCGACUUGCAUACUACUAUCAAACAAAGUACUUAGCAUGCAGUAUGUACUGUAUACUGGGGUCGGCAGGAGUGGUCCCCAUGUAUGGGGCCCGCUAACCUGCUCGGCCAUCUGCGGGCCCUAGCUGAUCUGAUUCUUGACCAUUUUCUGAUUUUCCUCUUUAUCCUCUAACACACAGGGACUUCAGGCACGAAGGGUAAAGCUGAAGUGACGU